rnacentral:lncRNA from 1 species
UUCAAUGGCUCAUGCCUCAAUGGCUUGACUCCCCAAUAUCCAGUCCCGAUCGAUGACAUAGAGGCAUAUCUCCUAAUUUGCUUUUCCAUAUUCUCAUUAUGAGCCCUCUACUGGAUCGAGAUAGUAUGGGGCAUAUGGCAGUCGUCAAAAGUAAGUUACAUAGGUAAAUAAAGGUCUCACGCAUUUUGGUUUUGCUGUAGCACUCGAAAGAAGAGCGAGGGCCAAUAAAGAAGAAGGGUCAAAUGGAAUAUGCAACCUUGUAUGUUAAGAAACUAAGCAUAAAAGUAAAGAGGAUUUGAAGGUCGUGGCAAGGUCAUAAUAUGACAUGUUGAGGUCUAGGUAGAGCAUAAGGGAAAAGAGAAAUUGAGGAAGCUGUAGCUAUACUGGUAAAGAGAGAGCCGCUACUAUCCUACUAAUUGCUGACAGCUUUGUCUCAGGUUAAUGAUAGGCCAGCAAUAGCUUGGCUCGAUGGAAAGUAGGUGAACAUUGGUUUUCAAGGAAGGGCUUAGGCUUAGACCAAAUGGGUACAACUUGAAAGCUGACGAUUACUCUAACAUCAAACUUAGGCUAUGCUUGAAGGCGGAGGAGUGCUUGCUUCGAUUUAGUUGGUUCCCUUUUUCUAUCCGUGAGAAGGACCAAAAAGAUAUAAGGGCUAAGCAGCAAUCGAAAAACAUAUUUAUAGACGAAUAACUAUAAUAUACGCGACUUUUUUUCCUGCCUUAGGUCGGCCUCCACGGCCAUCCCUUUUAGGUAGGAUCGUUUGUUUAGCAGUGUGAAUAAGAUGAUGCGUUGAUCACGCUUUGCAUAAGGUUGUGACCUAUUCGACCGAACAAAAGCCUUUGCUUCCGAAAUGGUGGUUCUUGGUUCUUUUUUGUGUGGAUAGAAUGUUUUCAAUCUCUUCCUGACAGACUAACUUAUCUACUCCCACCGUCUUUGGCUUCAUGCCUGUUGGCUUAGCCCUCCCACUUCCUUUCUUCACCGGGUAAAUGGCCCUCCCUCCAAUUCAAUAAGACAAAGAACUCCCGCUUGCGCUUUGCUAGGCGGUACUGUCAACCAACAAGGCUUGUUGCCUUUUAUUCAGCUUCCACUUCUUCUGAUGUUUCGGUCUCUAUUUGGGCUCCUUUUAUUGAUUCCAAACCAGCCGGUCCGGUAGAGGAAUCUUUUGAUGAAGAUACCGAUAUAGAAAGUCAGUGUCGCCUUGGCCUUGUUCCAGCGGUAGCCCCCUCUGGGCUGUGAUUCAAAUUCUAUCCAAUUCUUCCCUGAGAAAGAGUGCCAAAUCUAGAGUCCUUUUAUCUUGUCUUUUGGAUUCUAUUCUCUAUAAAAUGAGCAGUAUUGAGAUGAGGAGGAACCCAAGGUAAGCAGCAACGGGAGCUCGCAAACAACUGAUUGUGAGCUAGAUAGAGAGAGAAGAAGUGCACCCACUUUCCUAUUAUUACUUUACGUAUGAGUUUGAGGACUACAAUCUAUAGCCUUUUGAAGAAGUGAUUUUCGCCCUUACUAUAGAUAGUGCAAGCUGAAACCUUGAAAGGGUCUACCCGAGCUUCUCUUUGUUCGUCAACGGGGGCCCCUCCUCCUUAUCUUGUUCUCAAAGACAACAUAUUGAACCUUUCUAUGAGUGGAGGGCUUUCCUUUUGCUUCUUCUUUAUUUUGAAGAUCUUCUUAUGGGCUUUCCUUUUGCUUCUUCUUUAUUUUGACUAUCUUCUUAUGCUGACCCCCCUCCCAUAGUAUGAAGUAGGUACUAACACACAAGAUUGGUAGGCACACCACAUGGAAUUCCACUUUCAGAAGUCAGAAAAGAAAGAUCAUUUAGAAAAAGCACUGUGAUAUCGAUCUAAGACAAGUCCUCUCAUUGACAAAUGGAGUUCACCCUUCUCUUAUCAAUCUUGAAGAUAUACUUGUGAAGAGAUCAAAUCAUUCUUCCUUACUAUACGAUGAAAACUAAACAACCAUUCUACGCUAUUAUGCUAAGAGAAAUUCCAACCUAUAUAAGGUCUGGGACCAAAGAAAAGCCAGAAUCAUAGGGAGAUUCGGAGUCAGUUGAAGAUUGUCCAUCGGAAUCCUUUCUUUAUCAUCCAUUCAGUAGUAGGUCAAACUGGUCUCCAGCCAGGGUAGGUUAGAAUUCCUUCCCAUGAGCUUAUAGUCAGAGCAGGUGGUAUAAGCAGAAAUAGAAGUAAGCUCAUCUAGUUCCAACGAUUUACCUAAAAGGUGUGGUGUAGGUGACCUAGCCUGCCCCUCAAAGGAGGCUGGGAUAGGGAAGAAAGGAAAAGAGGCCUACUAGAGUACUUAGAUAAAAAAAAGAGCAAGCCG